AUGAGGCUGUUGCUAGGCUCCUUGUUACUUGGUUACAUCCAGCUUCUCAGGACCCAUCCAGCUGCAUCCCACGGGAUCUGGGCUGUAUUUUCUUCCCCAAGAAUGAAGGCAGAGCAUAGAAACAAGAAGCCAGGAGGAGAAGGGGGGAUGCAAGGGAGGUGCCUGGCUGACAAACUGCCCCUUGAGAAGGUGAGCUGGCACCUUCCUGCUGCUGCCUGAGCGUGCCAGCAGUGCUUGGUGCUUCCAGGGUGCUUUAUCUCUGCUGAGCACAGCAAUGGGAAUGGGCCCAAUUAUCCUGCUUUACAGCAGUG
rnacentral:lncRNA from 1 species